GACGAACGCUGGCGGCGUGCUUAACACAUGCAAGUCGAACGGAAAGGCCCUGCUUUUGUGGGGUGCUCGAGUGGCGAACGGGUGCGUAACACGUGAGUAACCUGCCCUUGACUUUGGGAUAACUUCAGGAAACUGGGGCUAAUACCGGAUAGGAGCUCCUGCUGCAUGGUGGGGGUUGGAAAGUUUCGGCUGUUGGGGAUGGACUCGCGGCUUAUCAGCUUGUUGGUGGGGUAGUGGCUUACCAAGGCUUUGAAGGGUAGCCGGCCUGGGAGGGUGACCGGCCACAUUGGGACUGAGGUACGGCCCAGACUCCUACGGGAGGCAGCAGGGGGGAAUAUUGCACAAUGGGCGGACGCCUGAUGCAGCAACGCCGCGUGCGGGAUGACGGCCUUCUGGUUGUAAACCGCUUUCGCCUGAGACGAAGCGUGAGUGACGGUAACGGGUAAAAAAGCACCGGCUAACUACGUG
rnacentral:rRNA from 1 species